rnacentral:rRNA from 1 species
GAUGAACGCUGGCGGCGUGCUUAACACAUGCAAGUCGAACGGUGAAGGCGGAGCUUGCUCUGCUGGAUCAGUGGCGAACGGGUGAGUAACACGUGAGCAAUCUGCCCCUGACUCUGGGAUAAGCGCUGGAAACGGCGUCUAAUACUGGAUACGAGCUGCGAAGGCAUCUUCAGCAGCUGGAAAGAACUUCGGUCAGGGAUGAGCUCGCGGCCUAUCAGCUUGUUGGUGAGGUAACGGCUCACCAAGGCGUCGACGGGUAGCCGGCCUGAGAGGGUGACCGGCCACCCUGGGCCUGCGACACGGCCCAGACUCCUACGGGAGGCAGCAGUGGGGAAUAUUGCACAAUGGGCGAAAGCCUGAUGCAGCAACGCCGCGUGAGGGACGACGGCCUUCGGGUUGUAAACCUCUUUUAGCAGGGAAGAAGCGAAAGUGACGGUACCUGCAGAAAAAGCGCCGGCUAACUACGUG